UGUAGAUACACUCAGCACACCGGAUAAGCCUAUAGGCCUGUUUCACAAUCUGAUUCAAGCUAAGAAACAUAAAUACAGAAAAGACCGGCAGCCCAGCCCACGACAGAGAGGAGCACGAGACAGAGGACAAGGAACAAUGUGUAGUCUCAAGAUUGAAGCUCACAAUCCUCUGGUCACCACCAAAAAUCCUCAACCACUGAGCUACCAUAGCCAAAACCGACCAGAGCAAACAUGUUGCCUAUAAUCGGGACCAGCACAACAGUCCGUUCGUCUGAGUCUCUGGAUGUGCAGAAAACCACUUCACAGGAAAAGUCGACAACAUCUCACCAUGGCGAAUUCUCAAGAAUUAAGAUUGGGGGUGGGGUUAAAGUCAGGGACAUGGCAUGAUUAGCAAUUAUAGCAACGGUUUUUGUUAUAUAAGAUAUGUCCCAUUCAGUGUAAUUACUAUUCAUUUUCUGUACAACGCUUGGAAACAUAGCUUCAGGUUUUGUGAUGCCACCACGUGUCACGCAUCAAAUUUCCUUUCAGCUUUUUGUGUUAGCUUUGUAGCUAGCGUGCUCACAAGCUAACUUUGUUCUGGGCUAUAUCUACAAAACAGAAUUUCAUGAUCAAAUAGAUAACAUGCCAAUACACAUGAUAUAUGAGGCUAAAUGGAAAACUAAGAUGUAAUGUAGGAAGACAAACUUUUAUUUUACAUAAGAAACAAUGUGCAAUUUUAUCAUGCUAAAUUUGAAUAACAUGCUCAGCGAAAUACAGACUUUAAACAUGCAAAUUCCUUAAAUGGUCUAGGUAAUACUCCUAAACUGGUAUUAGCAGUUUUGAGAGGAACACGAUUUAGAUCACAAGAGAUCCACGCAGAGCGUUUUUACUUAAAUAAAUAUCCUACUAUUUUGCUGGUGUGACUGUCAUUAGCUAAUAUACAGUAUAUUAAAUGUGAUUAUAUUGUAUUAUUUGGGGUUUAUCUCUUUUGUGUGAUGUUUUACAUAAUUAAGUAUUGAAUGUGCUGUUUUGAAAACAAUAAAAGUUGAUUCUGAAAUAAAAGGAGACUUGGGGAGCAAAGUCAAGCAGUGCUUUAUCCCAUACAGAUAUCCUUGCUCACGUUCCUGUUCUGAAGAGAACACCAGAUAACGAAAAGGCCAGUGGUCAAGACAGGACAGUAAGGUAUCAGUCUCAGAGUCAUGGAACUACAGAGAGUAG